AAAUUGAAGAGUUUGAUCAUGGCUCAGAUUGAACGCUGGCGGCAGGCCUAACACAUGCAAGUCGAACGGUAACAGGAAGCAGCUUGCUGCUUCGCUGACGAGUGGCGGACGGGUGAGUAAUGUCUGGGAAACUGCCUGAUGGAGGGGGAUAACUACUGGAAACGGUGGCUAAUACCGCAUAACGUCGCAAGACCAAAGAGGGGGACCUUCGGGCCUCUUGCCAUCAGAUGUGCCCAGAUGGGAUUAGCUUGUUGGUGAGGUAACGGCUCACCAAGGCGACGAUCCCUAGCUGGUCUGAGAGGAUGACCAGCCACACUGGAACUGAGACACGGUCCAGACUCCUACGGGAGGCAGCAGUGGGGAAUAUUGCACAAUGGGCGCAAGCCUGAUGCAGCCAUGCCGCGUGUAUGAAGAAGGCCUUCGGGUUGUAAAGUACUUUCAGCGGGGAGGAAGGUGUUGCGGUUAAUAACCGCAGCAAUUGACGUUACCCGCAGAAGAAGCACCGGCUAACUCCGUGCCAGCAGCCGCGGUAAUACGGAGGGUGCAAGCGUUAAUCGGAAUUACUGGGCGUAAAGCGCACGCAGGCG
rnacentral:rRNA from 1 species